rnacentral:rRNA from 1 species
GAUGAACGCUGGCGGCGUGCCUAAUACAUGCAAGUCGAGCGAACAGACGAGGUACUUGUUCCUCUUACGUUAGCGGCGGACGGGUGAGUAACACGUGGAGAACCUACCUAUAAGACUGGGAUAACUUCGGGAAACCGGUGCUAAUACCGCAUAAUAUCUUUAACCACAUGGUUCAAUAUUGAAAGACGCUUUUGCAGUCCCCUAUAAAUAUAUCGCGGCCUCUUAGGCUGUUUGGGAAGGUAACGGUCUACCAAGGGAAGGAUGCGUAGCGGACUGGGAAGGGGGAUGGGCCACACUGGAACGGAGACCCGGCCAAGACUCCUACGGGAGGCACCAGUAGGGAAUUUCGGGCAAUGGCGGAAAGCCUGCCGGAGCAAGGCCGCGGGAUGGAGGAAGGUCUUCGGAUCGAAAACCCUGGUUAUAGGGGAAGAACAAGGGUGGAAUUGAAUACGCACCAAGUGACGGUACCUAAUCAGAAAGCCACGGCUAACUACGUG